UGGCUCAGGAUGAACGCUAGCGAUAGGCUUAACACAUGCAAGUCGAGGGGCAGCAUUAUCAAAGCUUGCUUUGAUAGAUGGCGACCGGCGCACGGGUGCGUAACACGUAUGCAACUUACCCAUAAAGCGAGGAUAACCCGGAGAAAUUCGGACUAAUACUCGAUGGUAUUACUAAGAGGCAUCUUUUAAUAAUUAAAGAUUUAUCGAUUAUGGAUAGGCAUGCGCAUGAUUAGCUAGUUGGUGGGGUAACGGCUCACCAAGGCGACGAUCAUUAGGGGUUCUGAGAGGAAGGUCCCCCACACUGGUACUGAGACACGGACCAGACUCCUACGGGAGGCAGCAGUGAGGAAUAUUGGUCAAUGGGCGAGAGCCUGAACCAGCCAAAUCGCGUGAAGGAAGACUGCCCUAAGGGUUGUAAACUUCUUUUGUAUGGGAAUAAAAGAUAGCACGAGUGCUAUAUUGUAUGUACCAUACGAAUAAGGAUCGGCUAACUCCGUGCCAGCAGCCGCGGUAAUACGGAGGAUCCGAGCGUUAUCCGGAUUUAUUGGGUUUAAAGGGUGCGUAGGCGGGAGAUCAAGUCAGUGGUGAAAUGGUGUGGCUCAACCAUAGCAUUGCCGUUGAAACUGGUUUUCUUGAGUGUAAAUGAGGUAAGCGGAAUGUGUUGUGUAGCGGUGAAAUGCAUAGAUAUGACACAGAACACCAAUUGCGAAGGCAGCUUACUGGGAUACAACUGACGCUGAGGCACGAAAGCGUGGGGAUCAAACAGGAUUAGAUACCCUGGUAGUCCACGCAGUAAACGAUGAUUUCUAGCUGUUUGCGAUAUAAUGUAAAGUGGCUAAAGGGAAACCGAUAAGUAAUCCCCCUGGGGAGUACGUUCGCAAGAAUGAAACUCAAAGGAAUUGACGGGGGUCCGCACAAGCGGAGGAACAUGUGGUUUAAUUCGAUGAUACGCGAGGAACCUUACCCGGGCUUGAAAUGCAGAAGACGAAUCAGGAAACUGAUUUUCCAGCAAUGGCUUCUGUGUAGGUGCUGCAUGGUUGUCGUCAGCUCGUGCCGUGAGGUGUCGGCUUAAGUGCCAUAACGAGCGCAACCCUUGCCAUUAGUUACUAACAGGUAAAGCUGAGGACUCUAAUGGGACUGCCACCGCAAGGUGUGAGGAAGGUGGGGAUGACGUCAAAUCAGCACGGCCCUUACGUCCGGGGCGACACACGUGUUACAAUGGGUGGGACGGAAAGUUGCUAAGUGGUGACACAGCGCUAAUCUCCAAACCCACUCUCAGUUCGGAUCGGAGUCUGCAACUCGACUCCGUGAAGCUGGAUUCGCUAGUAAUCGCGCAUCAGCCAUGGCGCGGUGAAUACGUUCCCGGGCCUUGCACACACCGCCCGUCA
rnacentral:rRNA from 1 species